GGAUGAACGCUGGCGGCGUGCCUAAUACAUGCAAGUCGAGCGAACAGACGAGGAGCUUGCUCCUCUGACGUUAGCGGCGGACGGGUGAGUAACACGUGGAUAACCUACCUAUAAGACUGGGAUAACUUCGGGAAACCGGAGCUAAUACCGGAUAAUAUAUUGAACCGCAUGGUUCAAUAGUGAAAGACGGUUUUGCUGUCACUUAUAGAUGGAUCCGCGCCGCAUUAGCUAGUUGGUAAGGUAACGGCUUACCAAGGCAACGAUGCGUAGCCGACCUGAGAGGGUGAUCGGCCACACUGGAACUGAGACACGGUCCAGACUCCUACGGGAGGCAGCAGUAGGGAAUCUUCCGCAAUGGGCGAAAGCCUGACGGAGCAACGCCGCGUGAGUGAUGAAGGUCUUCGGAUCGUAAAACUCUGUUAUUAGGGAAGAACAAAUGUGUAAGUAACUAUGCACGUCUUGACGGUACUUAAUCAGAAAGCCACGGCUAACUACGUG
rnacentral:rRNA from 1 species